rnacentral:rRNA from 1 species
UGGGAAUCCUUAUGGCCGAAUAUCCAAGGUUUCCAGAGUAAAGCUGAUCUGCUCUGGGUAAGUCGGGGCCUAAGGCGAGGACGAGAGUCGUAGCCGAUGGACAACAGGUGGAGAUUCCUGUACUGCGGUAUGACAGAACUGUGGGGACACGUAAGGAAAGCGGAAGCCGGGAAUGGAAAGCCCGGUGCAAGCGGGGUACCAGCCACUUUGGCAAAUCCGGGUGGCAAUGGGAAGCCGUGAUGCGGAGCGAAAUAAAGUAGCGAAGUCCGUGAGCCAUGCGUCAAGAAAAGCCGCUAUUGUUUAUACCGUACCCGUACCGUAAACCGACACAGGUGGAUGAGGAGAGAAUCCUAAGGCCGGCGGAAGAAGCAUUGUCAAGGAACUCGGCAAAAUGGCCCCGUAACUUAGGGAUAAGGGGUGCCUGGGAAACCAGGCCGCAGAGAAUAGGCUCAAGCAACUGUUUAGCAAAAACACAGGUCUAUGCGAAACCGAAAGGUGAGGUAUAUGGGCUGACGCCUGCCCGGUGCUGGAAGGUUAAGAGGAGAGGUUAGCGCAAGCGAAGCUUUGAAUUUAAGCCCCAGUAAACGGCGGCCGUAACUAUAACGGUCCUAAGGUAGCGAAAUUCCUUGUCGGGUAAGUUCCGACCCGCACGAAAGGCGUAAUGAUUUGAGCGCUGUCUCGACAAUGCAUCCGGUGAAAUUGAAGUACCAGUGAAGAUGCUGGUUACCUGCGCCAGGACGGAAAGACCCCAUGGAGCUUUACUCCAGUCUGGUACUGGGACUCGGUAUUGCAUGUACAGGAUAGGUGGGAGGCUAGGAGAUGGUAACGCCAGUUGCCAUGGAGCCGCUGUUGGGAUACCACCCUUGCAGUAUUGGGUUUCUAACCAGCCGCCGUGACCCGGCGGUGGGACAAUGCCAGACGGGGAGUUUGACUGGGGCGGUCGCCUCCGAAAGGGUAUCGGAGGCGCCCAAAGGUUCCCUCAGAAUGGACGGAAACCAUUCGAAGAGUGCAAAGGCAGAAGGGAGCUUGACUGCGACACCGACGGGUGGAGCAGGUACGAAAGUAGGGCUAGUGAUCCGGUGGUAUUAAGUGGGAAUGCCAUCGCUCAACGGAUAAAAGCUACCCUGGAUAACAGGCUUAUCACUCCCAAGAGUUCACAUCGACGGAGUGGUUUGGCACCUCGAUGUCGGCUCAUCGCAUCCUGGGGCUGUAGUAGGUCCCAAGGGUUGGGCUGUUCGCCCAUUAAAGCGGUACGCGAGCUGGGUUCAGAACGUCGUGAGACAGUUCGGUCCCUAUCCGGCGUGGGCGUAGGAUAUCUGAGAGGAGCUGUCCUUAGUACGAGAGGACCGGGAUGGACGGGCCGCUGGUGCAUCGGUUAGACUGCCAAGUCUACGGCCGAGUAGCCAAGCCCGGAAGGGAUAAACGCUGAAGGCAUCUAAGCGUGAAGCCCCCCUUAAGAUGAGAUAUCCCAUUCGAAAGAAGUAAACCCCCUUGAAGACGACGAGGUAGAUAGGGCAGAGGUGGAAGUGCAGCAAUGCAUGGAGCUGACUGUUACUAAUCGGGUGAGGGCUUGAC